AACGAACGCUGGCGGCUUGCCUAACACAUGCAAGUCGAACGAGACCUUCGGGUCUAGUGGCGCACGGGUGCGUAACGCGUGGGAACCUGCCCUUAGGUUCGGAAUAACUCCCCGAAAGGGGUGCUAAUACCGGAUAAUGUCUUCGGACCAAAGAUUUAUCGCCUUUGGAUGGGCCCGCGUUGGAUUAGCUAGUUGGUAGGGUAAAAGCCUACCAAGGCGACGAUCCAUAGCUGGUCUGAGAGGAUGAUCAGCCACACUGGGACUGAGACACGGCCCAGACUCCUACGGGAGGCAGCAGUGGGGAAUAUUGGACAAUGGGCGAAAGCCUGAUCCAGCAAUGCCGCGUGAGUGAUGAAGGCCUUAGGGUUGUAAAGCUCUUUUACCCGGGAUGAUAAUGACAGUACCGGGAGAAUAAGCUCCGGCUAACUCCGUG
rnacentral:rRNA from 1 species